GCCUUCGUAGCGCAGUGGUCAGCACGCUCGACGCGUACUCGAAAGGCCUGUGGUUCGAAUCCCGGCGAGGCA
rnacentral:tRNA from 1 species